GAGUAUUUGGAUACUCGUUUAGUUGAUUUGUUUCUGCCAUCUGUUAGGGCGUUUGAGAAAGAAUUGUAUUUGUGAAUUUGUGUUAUUUUGUAAGCCAGCAGGGGCUUUAUGCUCAGCUCGGCAGAAGGAGAGUGUAGCUGGCCGAGUGCAGCACGACUCGUCCGCCUAGGGUGGCUUGGCCACGAUGGGCCAAGACCACGAGAACGGUUUCGCAUUGAGUUGCGGAUACAAACCAUUUCAAGUUGAUUGUACAAUCUACCCAAAUUUUUGAUACCUGGCCAACUGGCUGUAGUGCGCCCAUGCGACGACUACGAAACUGAUAUUGGAUAAUUCGGUGAUGACGGCGGAAGAUCUGAGUUUAGAGGACCUUGUACCAACGGAUUUGAAACGUUAAAGUGCAAGACUCUGAGUGAAGUCCAACGUUCAUGUCAAACGCCUUAUUUGUGUAUUGAUAAGUAUGAAUGUGUAAUAUUGUAUUGACUAACCCCUGAAAUUAUCAUUUGGCUGAAACGUCUUUAUAAUUAAAUCGACGUCUUUUAAGGAAUUUUAUAUAAA